GACGAACGCUGGCGGCGUGCUUAACACAUGCAAGUCGAACGGAGUGGCGAACUGGAGAGUAACACGGGCGUGUCCCGCCCUCCACUUCGGGAUAAGCCUGGGAAACUGGGUCUACUACCGGAUAGUGUGGGAUGGGCCCGCGGCCUAUCAUAUUGUUGGUGGGUUAAUGGCCUACCAAGGCGGCGAGGGGUAGCCGGCCUGAGAGGGUGGACGGCCACAUUGGGACUGGGACACGGCCGAGACUGCUACGGGGGGCAGCAGUGGGGAAUAUUGCACAAUGGGCGGAAGGCUGAUGCAGCGACGCCGCGUGGGGGAUGACGGCCUUCGGGUUGUAAACUCCUUUCACCAGCGACGCGGUAGAUGGAGAAGAAGCACCGGCUAACUACGUGCCAGCAGCCGCGGUAAUUC
rnacentral:rRNA from 1 species